AUUCAUUUUUCAGUACUUCCAUGGCUACUGUCUUGUUAGAAAAAUUAUACCCUUUUCUUGCUUUGCAUUUGCUCUCCAAGUUUGGGGAUUUUGAUCUGAGAAUUGAAAAAAAAACAUAAAAGUGAAUUAUGUGCUAUUUUCCUAUAACUUGAUGAGAAAAUGAUAAACAGUGAUUCAUAAGUUUAAGAAAUGGAACUGUUUCAUGUGACUUGAGUUUAUUUGUAGAUAUUUGAAGUGAUUUCUGUAGUAUCAGGUAAAUUCAGACAUGUCAGACAUGUGGACAAGUCAAUAUAACCAGAGACAGAGGUCUAGGCAUCUGUGGGGUUCAAUAAGAAAACUCUUAAACAUUUUUUAAACUUCUUAUUUUACUCAUAACUUUAAAAGUUUAUUGGUAUAAACAGAAUUUUUAAAGGGCUAACCUAUUGUGUAAAUGGUAAUUUUUGACACAAAGUGUUUAGAAUACUUAAAGGCAUUUAAAAAAAGUGUUUGGCAUAUAUUAACUCAGUUAUUUCUUAUGACACUCAGUAAAGUAGGUACCUGCUGUAGUUCAUUUGGGCUGCUAUAACAAAAAUAUCAUAGACUGGGCAGCUGAAAGAACAAAUAUUUUCUCACUGUUCUGGAGGCUGAGAAGUUCAAGAUUAAGGCACCAGUAGAUUCAGUGUCUGGUGAGGGCCUGUUCCCCAGUUCAUAGAUGGCACCUUCUCACUGUGUCCUCACAUGUUGGAAAGGGCAAGGGAGCUCUCUGGGGUCAGUUUUAUGGGGUCUGUUUUUAAAGAGCAUUCAUCUCAUUCCUGACGACUCUACUCUUACAGCCUAAUCGCCUCCCAAAGGCCCCACCUCAUAAUACUAUCUGAUUGGAGGUUAGGAUUUUAACAUAUUAAUUUUGAGGCAACAUAAACAUUCAGUUCAUCGUGGUACCUUUCCCAAGGCCACACAACUAGAAAAUGGCAGGGCUGAGAUUUGAACCCUGGCAUUUGGCUCCAGAGUUUUUCCUCUUAAUGACUAUUUUCUUGGUGUGCCUACUUUAAGCAUUCACAGUGUUUCUUAGUCACUUACUCAUUAAUCUUUCAUUUCUUGAGACCUGCUAUUAAUUAGAUGUUGUUAACGGAUAUGUUUUCUGUCCUCAGAAACAUCAGCCUGGAAGUGGGAGACAGAUAGAUCCAUAAACAAUCCCAGAGUGGUACAGAAGGAGCGUUAUAGCAAGAACCGAGGGAGCUAGCUAUCUAAUUACAUCUGUUUUCUUAUAUGCACAUAUUAUGAGGUUCCUGGACCAACUUCAUACUUGGCUUUUCUGAAUGAUGUGUGUAUAAGGGUAGUAAUAGGAAAUUCAUUACUGAGCUAUUUUCAUAGGCCCAGGAAUGACCAAGUUCUGUUCAUACACACACCUGUGUGGUCAUUACAAACAAUACUGAUCAGAAUAACAAAAAAAGUUUUAAACUUUCAUAUGUUCAGACCUUCCCUGGGAUUUGGAACCAAUCCUUUUCUUAGCCAAGGAAGUUUAAAAAUCCUUAAUUUGGUGGCUUGAGGCUGGGUACCAGUACUCCUCUAUCACUUCCUCUCUUCUGGGUGGGUAUUUGGGUUCCAUUAACUUAGUUUCUUCUCUUUUCCUGUGAACUGAUAGUUGGCUUUUUGCGGUAACCAGGUCCUGUGUUCCAUUUUCAAGCUCUGCUUUAAGGUCCUCCAUCUGAUACGCAUUCCAUUUAUUCUGUAUUAAGGCUCUGCUUUCUAGAGACAGAAGUUCUGCCCCUGAGCCUUGCUGCUCGGCCCCUUUUAUGCAGACAGCCUACUUCUCUGCUACCUUUCUGUUCUGUGUUCCCCAGUACUGUGUCCUGUAACCCACUGUCAGAAUGUCCAGUUGCCCUUCUCCAUACUGGCUUGGCUUGUGACAUUCCUUAUCGUCUCACUGGGACCUUUACUAACCAGCUACAUUUUGGUCUUUGGGUCUGGGCAGCACCAAAUCUCACUCAUUCUAGAAUGCCUCAUUUACAUUUAACACUGUCCUAGCUCCUGGGUAGAAUUCAAAGGCGUUAGAUUCUUCUUGUCUGAUGAAAUAUUUAUUGAGUACUAGCUGUGAAUAAGGCAAUACUUUGUGUUGUGACAAAGAAAUAAGUGAAACUUGAUCGUUACUUCCAGAACCACACACUUAAAAGACCAAAAUAAAAUUAGUACAUGUUACAUAAUGGGUUAAAGAAUGGCCUAAAAAGGCCUGGCACAGUGGCUCAUGCCUGUAAUCCCAGCACUUUGGGAGGCUAAGGUGGGAGAAUUGCUUGAGCCUAGGAGUUGGAGACCAGCCUGUGCAACAAAGUGAAACCCCACAUCUACCAAAAAGUAAAAAAUAAAAAAAUAAAAAAAUUAGACGAGCAUGGUGGCAUGUGCAUGUCAUUCCAGAUACACAGCUUAUCACUGUGUCACAAAAGAAAAUUCACUGUUGCUCAUCCCUGAGCCCUGACCUGAUACCAUUGUAGUUUUUUUUUUCCUUGUGAUGACUGUUAAUUCAACCAAUGACAGACCAGUGUUAUUGAAGUAAGGAGUGUUUUAUUUUAGUGGGAUUAAAUGAAUGCUAAAUUUGUUUUUCAGACAAAGAUAGCAUGAUGUGCUUUGGAAAAAAACCUAUUGAUAUAUAUUUUAAUAUAAAUAUUUGCCAAUCAGCUGCCAUUAUUUUAGUGUAUUUUUAUGCUUACCCUGGGAUGCAGCAGCAUACCUUAACAAUGUUUGGAGUCCUUUCUUUUCUGCAUUCUGAUAUAAUUAUCUCCACAUGCCCCCAAAUCUUCCAUAAUGAUGCCCAUAUGAGAGAGACAAAAAGGAUAAAUCUAUUGAUAAACUGAAGUUUGAUUUCCCAUGACACUUUCAGUUACUAGGCAGGGAAGAAGGACAGUGCAGUUUCAAAACUGGAAUAGUGAUUAUGGCCUUCUGAUCUAUUGCUGCCUGUCGGGCAUGUUAAAAAAGAAAAGGAAGAGAAGUUUAAUGCAAAUCACAAUCUCUUUGUGGCAGGGUCAUCUUUGGCUGUUUCGCACUGUAAUAGCCUUUGGAGAAACUGUUUUUCACUUGAGUUCUUUUAGAUGUUGCUUUGAAGAGACUUGAUGCUUCAGGCCCAGAGUUCUCAUGUGAGGUCAAGCAGGAACCCAGAUUCUUUCCGUUCAGGGCUGGUAUCUUGAAUUCUUUUCGGAUUGGGCUCUGCGUCCGUUUCUGCAUCCAGGUAUAGUGCUGAGUCUGUGGGAAAUUAUAACCAUUCAUCAAUGUGAUAUGGUCUCUAUUGGAAAUGUCCCAGCACCAGGAGUACCUAUUCUAGCAGAUAGCCUUGAAUAUUCUAAAAGCCUGUUUUCAGUUCAAGAGUAAAGGUGUAUUGUACAUCUUUCUAGAAUUCAGAGAGACCUUAGGUGUGCAGGUAGGGCAACGCUGGCAGUCUCCCAGAGUGAAGACGGCCUAGGAAUGCCCAGACAUCUCUCCUCCUCUCUGCCUGACCUACCCCCAAUCCAAGCUAAUCUUUGCUGGGCCUAAUGUUCAAAUCUCA
rnacentral:lncRNA from 1 species